UACGUAGGGGGCAAGCGUUUGUCCGGAAUCAUUGGGCGUAAAGAGCGUGUAGGCGGCCAGGUAGGUCUGCUGUGAAAACUCGAGGCUCAACCUCGAGACGUCGGCGGAAACCAUCUGGCUAGAGUCCGGAAGAGGAGAGUGGAAUUCCUGGUGUAGCGGUGAAAUGCGCAGAUAUCAGGAAGAACACCAAUGGCGAAGGCAGCUCUCUGGGACGGUACUGACGCUGAGACGCGAAAGCGUGGGGAGCGAACAGG
rnacentral:rRNA from 1 species